GGUCAAUGCCACCUAUAGAUGUUCUCAACUUGAUCCUUGUUUAUAUCAAUGUUUCCUCCUUUUGCUGCCAUGACAUAAAAGUUCAGUGCUCGCUUGAACUCAUUGUCACCCGGUUGCUAUCGCUGAAACUUGCGCACAUUUAGAUCCUCUUGCUCUUGGGCAUCCGGAAUUCUUGAUGACGAUUGCAAGUAAGAUAGCUUUGCUUCUCUGCUUUGGCAGCCAAAAGGAGGACGUGUUGACAUAAAUUAGAGAGCAAGUUGAGAUUAUCUGCUGCAACGCUGCAGCUUGACC